AUGGAGGGAGGCGGCUCCAGCAAGGUGGGCUCGCCGGAGGACGCCGCGGCGAGGCGGGCGAGGGAGUACCACGAGUGCAGCUUCUGCAACAGAGGCUUCACCAACGCUCAGGCGCUCGGGGGCCACAUGAACGUCCACCGCGACGAGCGCCGCCGCCAAGCCGCCGCACCGCCGGCCGACAGCGGCGGCUCGCAGAAGAAAGGUCCCGGGAGCAGCGAGGAGCUGGACUUGGAGCUGAGGCUCUGA
rnacentral:rRNA from 1 species